rnacentral:rRNA from 1 species
AGAGUUUGAUUCUGGCUCAGAACGAACGCUGGCGGCGUGGAUAAGACAUGCAAGUUGAACGGUUGAUACAGGGUAGCAAUAUUCUGUGUCAGCAGUGGCGUAAGGGUGCUUAACACGUGGGUAAUCUGCCGCGAAGUGUGGGAUAACUCGCUGAAAGGCGAGCUAAUACCGCAUGUGAUUUUCUUGAGGCAUCUCAGGGAAUUCAAACAUGGGUCGCAAGGCCUGUGGUUUCGCGAUGAGCCCGCGGCCUAUCAGCUAGUUGGCGGGGUAAAGGCCCACCAAGGCUAAGACGGGUAGCUGGUCUGAGAGGACGACCAGCCACACUGGAACUGAGACACGGUCCAGACACCUACGGGUGGCAGCAGUCGAGAAUUUUUCACAAUGGGGGAAACCCUGAUGGAGCGACGCCGCGUGGGGGAUGAAGGGCUUCGGUUCGUAAACCCCUGUCAUUGGCGAACAAGUGUUGCGUCCUAAUACGGCGCAACUUGAUAGUAGCCGAAGAGGAAGGGACGGCUAACUCUGUGCCAGCAGCCGCGGUAAUACAGAGGUCCCGAGCGUUGUUCGGAUUCACUGGGCGUAAAGGGUGCGUAGGUGGUUGGUUAAGUUUGAGGUGAAAGCUCCGAGCUCAACUCGGAAAAUGCCUUGAAGACUAUCUGACUAGAGGGUUGGAGGGGAGACUGGAAUUCUCGGUGUAGCAGUGAAAUGCGUAGAUAUCGAGAGGAACACCAGUGGCGAAGGCGAGUCUCUGGACAACACCUGACACUGAGGCACGAAAGCCAAGGGAGCAAACGGGAUUAGAUACCCCGGUAGUCUUGGCUGUAAACGGUGCGCACUUGCUGUGAGCGGAUUCGACCCCGCUCGUGGCGUAGUUAACACGAUAAGUGCGCCGCCUGGGAAGUACGGUCGCAAGAUUAAAACUCAAAGAAAUUGACGGGGGCCUGCACAAGCGGUGGAGUAUGUGGCUUAAUUCGAUGCAACGCGAAGAACCCUACCUAGCCUUGACAUGCAGAUAGUAGGAGCCUGAAAGGGUGACGAGGUAGCAAUACCAGUUUGCACAGGUGCUGCAUGGCUGUCAUCAGCCGUAUCGUGACUGGGAAAC